rnacentral:rRNA from 1 species
UACGUAGGGGGCAAGCGUUGUCCGGAAUCAUUGGGCGUAAAGCGCGUGUAGGCGGCUUGAUAAGUCUGCUCUGAAAGCCCGGGGCUCAACCCUGGGAGGCGGGUGGAUACUGUCGAGCUCGAGUCCGGAAGAGGCGAGUGGAAUUCCUGGUGUAGCGGUGAAAUGCGCAGAUAUCAGGAGGAACACCGGUGGCGAAGGCGGGUCUCUGGGCCGUAACUGACGCUGAGGAGCGAAAGCAUGGGGAGCGAACAGG